GCUUGCUGUGCAGUGUGAGGUAAGGCUACUUGUUGAAGACCGUACUUUGACCAUAAAUGAUUUACUUUUAUAAAUUGUGACUUGGAAGGAGAGUUGUGUAAUAGUCACUCAUAACACAUCUUCCUAUAUCUAUAGUCCCAAACAGUAACACCGACAAGUUCAUAAACUCUAUCUCAGUGUGCACUGCAAUAGAUUGGAACCAUCGUG
rnacentral:lncRNA from 1 species